rnacentral:lncRNA from 1 species
CGGUGCCCCCGGAACAUGGCGGCGGCGUGAGGCGGGCGGCGGCACGAGCGGCUUGACAGGACGCCGCCGACCCGCGCCCCGCUCGCCCGGAAACUGUUGUGCUGAAAGGAAGAAUUAACUGGUCUUUCAACUUCAGCCUUUUUAUUGUGAGAGGGGAGAUCACAGAAGUGUUACCAUGGGGAGAACAUCAGCGAAAGAUUCAAAGAAUAUUAAAAAAGAGAAAGAUGGAAAGAAUCUGCAGGCAAACAACCCAUCUUUAAAAAGUGGUAGGUAUUGCAGCUGUCAGGUUCUUAGUUAAGGUAUUCUAAAAGAAAAUAUAUGUGUUUGUAUUGUACUAUUUUCUGACUUUUUCUUGUUGGAAUUGCUUGGGUUAUUAUGGUGGAUAGUUAAAAACAUACCUUUGCUUUUGUCUAGCUGUUAGGAGAGUAUGUUUUGGUAUAGAAAGUGAUGAUUGAAACUGCUUGAGUUGAACCUGCUAGUUUUAAUAG